CUAAAGUUUUUUUUUUUCUUUUCUUACAUGUUGUACCAUGCAGACUAGAGUGUAAAUAUAUUUUUCUAGCCGUCUGAUUGGUUAAUUUAAUAUACGUUCUAUACCUUCUUCAGGAACUCGGAUCAUUUAUGAUAGAAAAUUCCUCCUGGACUGCAGGAACUCUCCCAUCGCCCGGACCCCACCCUGUUGUUUGCCCCAAAUUCCUGGGGUGACUGUUCCUUCACACCAUCCCAUGUCCAAACUUCAGGAACUCAAAGAGGAGUUGGAGGAGGAGAAGGAUCUGGCAGCGGAUGACAACCAGUUUGAGAUGGACAUUUGAGUCUUUCACCUUCCUCCUGUGGAGAAUUCUUUAUUUUAUGUCGGGAUGUUGCUGCUCACCCCACGAUCAGCAGACAUCACAUAUUCACCAGAUUACAGGGCUUUUUAAUGAGCUAAACCGCCAAAGGGUGUCUUAUUCUUUUGUUUAAAAGUAUUCGUUAGACGUUUACAAGAAAAGAAAAAAACAUUAUUUUCAAGUGGCAGUGUUUUAAAGUUCUUUAUUGUACAUAUGGUUGUUUCUACUUUUUUUUUUUUAAGAAAAUGUAGCAUUACGUGUGAACCGGGGGAAAUCCACGGCAAAAUCUCUAAUUUCUGAGCUUUAUAUCUCAACAAAGACUGUUGAUUUUUUUUUAAUGGUAAAUAAAUGUGCCAAAUAAAUGUCUGUAGCGUAAGUUUGGUGUUUCACCUAAAAAAACACAUCAGAACAUAAAUGUACACCAUUGUGUGUCCUCAGGGUUUUCCUUUUGUUUUAUUUGCCUGGAUUUCCUCAGGUUUUAUUUUGAUUGAAAUAAAAGAAAAAAGAAAAAUA